UAUAGAUACAGAAAUUUAGCUUCCAUUUAGUUCACUUUCAGUAACUUGUAACUGCAUCAAGAACAGCAACACCACAUCUAACACCUGCCAGAUUGGUGAGCAAAGAACUCCACCGCUCUGUGUAAAAUCUGCUUUGGUAAGGACAUCAUAGCUGGUAGUAAUGAGCAUGUGAUUCCUGACACUUCCACAAGCAUGACCAAUUCACCUGAAUUUUCCUUGCACCACUACAACUUUUCUGGGACACAAAUGCACGGGAGCCAAAUAACAACAGUCUUUUAAUGACAGUAAGGCAAAAUACAGGAACUGGGACAUUUCUAACAGGUUCUCUACCAGCUUCUGGUACCAGACCCUCAUGUGGAGUGAAGCUACAAAGCCUAUGGAAAUACAUGAGGUGAUUUUAUUCUGCUUAGAAAAAAAGGCAAAGUGAAAGGCAUCUCCUCCCUACCCAAAGGAGCAAGUCAGGGAGUGAAGCCUGUGGGUGAAGAUCAAGACUGAGGGAAAAAGGGAGGUCCCUAGAUGAAUCAUGAGAAUCCCUUUUAAAACACACUCAGCUAUGGACAAGAGCAGAAAACUGCAGCAGCUCCAACUUCCACCCGUUGCCUCUCAAAGCCCAGUGGCACUUCCUGAGAGCUUGGGGCCUUCACUUCCGGAGAACAAACCAGAACUGUUUCCACUGUGAACUUUUCUACUUUAAGAUUAGAAUGAAAAGUAGAUAAUUGCAGAGUUGCCUUUUAACAUUAUCUAUGACCAUGUGCAGUGUCAUUAGUAGCCAAGGUUGCUAAUCUUAUGCAGUAAUUCUGUGCUUCCUUUGAAGAAACAACCUAGAGCAC
rnacentral:lncRNA from 1 species